UGAUUAAGGUGAUGUUUUUGUUUCUAUAAGCUAUAUUUUAAUGUCUGUGGAGUGUUUUCACAUUUGAGGUCUAUGUCUUUCUUGGUUUGGUUAUAUUUGUUAUUCUUUUUCUAUUCUGUGAACAAUUAUUUUAAAGCACCUUAAAAUGUUUUGUUCACAACUAUUUCCUUCUUCUUCUAUAUUCUUUUGCCCUUUUUCUGUAAUGUAUUUUUUUUCUCUUUAUGUUAUUACUUAAAGAAUUAUAAUUCUAAUUCUUUUAGUUUCAAAGUAUUUUUUUCAGCGGAGGUUCUUUUUCCGAGACUUUCUACAGUAUGGUACAUGAAACAGAUGUUGGAACAAGAAAGAAAAGAGAGCCAACCAUCAAGCAAUCAAGCCCCUCUGACAUUUUGAUUAAGGUGAUGUUUUUGUUUCUAUAAGCUAUAUUUUAAUGUCUGUGGAGUGUUUUCACAUUUGAGGUCUAUGUCUUUCUUUCUUCGGUUAUAUUUGUUAUUCUUUUUCUAUUCUGUGAACAAUUAUUUUAAAGCACCUUAAAAUGUUUUGUUCACAACUAUUUCCUUCUUCUUCUAUAUUCUUUUGCCCUUUUUCUGUAAUGUAUUUUUUUUCUCUUUAUGUUAUUACUUAAAGAAUUAUAAUUCUAAUUCUUUUAGUUUCAAAGUGUAUUUUUCAAUGGAGGUUCUUUUUUCCAAGACUUUCUACAGUAUGGUACAUGAAAAAGAUGUUGGAACAAGAAAGAAAAGAGAGCCAACCAUCAAGCCCCUCUGACAUUUUGAUUAAGGUGAUGUUUUUGUUUCUAUAAGCUAUAUUUUAAUGUCUGUGGAGUGUUUUCACAUUUGAGGUCUAUGUCUUUCUUUCUUCGGUUAUAUUUGUUAUUCUUUUUCUAUUCUGUGAACAAUUAUUUUAAAGCACCUUAAAAUGUUUUGUUCACAACUAUUUCCUUCUUCUUCUAUAUUCUUUUGCCCUUUUUCUGUAAUGUAUUUUUUUUCUCUUUAUGUUAUUACUUAAAGAAUUAUAAUUCUAAUUCUUUUAGUUUCAAAGUAUUUUUUUCAGCGGAGGUUCUUUUGCCAAGACUUUCUACAGUAUGGUACAUGAAACAGAUGUUGGAACAAGAAAGAAAAGAGAGCCAACCAUCAAGCAAUCAAGCCCCUCUGACAUUUUGAUUAAGGUGAUGUUUUUGUUUCUAUAAGCUAUAUUUUAAUGUCUGUGGAGUGUUUUCACAUUUGAGGUCUAUGUCUUUCUUUCUUCGGUUAUAUUUGUUAUUCUUUUUCUAUUCUGUGAACAAUUAUUUUAAAGCACCUUAAAAUGUUUUGUUCACAACUAUUUCCUUCUUCUUCUAUAUUCUUUUGCCCUUUUUCUGUAAUGUAUUUUUUUUCUCUUUAUGUUAUUACUUAAAGAAUUAUAAUUCUAAUUCUUUUAGUUUCAAAGUGUAUUUUUCAAUGGAGGUUCUUUUUUCCAAGACUUUCUACAGUAUGGUACAUGAAAAAGAUGUUGGAACAAGAAAGAAAAGAGAGCCAACCAUCAAGCCCCUCUGACAUUUUGAUUAAGGUGAUGUUUUUGUUUCUAUAAGCUAUAUUUUAAUGUCUGUGGAGUGUUUUCACAUUUGAGGUCUAUGUCUUUCUUUCUUCGGUUAUAUUUGUUAUUCUUUUUCUAUUCUGUGAACAAUUAUUUUAAAGCACCUUAAAAUGUUUUGUUCACAACUAUUUCCUUCUUCUUCUAUAUUCUUUUGCCCUUUUUCUGUAAUGUAUUUUUUUUCUCUUUAUGUUAUUACUUAAAGAAUUAUAAUUCUAAUUCUUUUAGUUUCAAAGUAUUUUUUUCAGCGGAGGUUCUUUUGCCAAGACUUUCUACAGUAUGGUACAUGAAACAGAUGUUGGAACAAGAAAGAAAAGAGAGCCAACCAUCAAGCAAUCAAGCCCCUCUGACAUUUUGAUUAAGGUGAUGUUUUUGUUUCUAUAAGCUAUAUUUUAAUGUCUGUGGAGUGUUUUCACAUUUGAGGUCUAUGUCUUUCUUUCUUCGGUUAUAUUUGUUAUUCUUUUUCUAUUCUGUGAACAAUUAUUUUAAAGCACCUUAAAAUGUUUUGUUCACAACUAUUUCCUUCUUCUUCUAUAUUCUUUUGCCCUUUUUCUGUAAUGUAUUUUUUUUCUCUUUAUGUUAUUACUUAAAGAAUUAUAAUUCUAAUUCUUUUAGUUUCAAAGUGUAUUUUUCAAUGGAGGUUCUUUUUUCCAAGACUUUCUACAGUAUGGUACAUGAAAAAGAUGUUGGAACAAGAAAGAAAAGAGAGCCAACCAUCAAGCCCCUCUGACAUUUUGAUUAAGGUGAUGUUUUUGUUUCUAUAAGCUAUAUUUUAAUGUCUGUGGAGUGUUUUCACAUUUGAGGUCUAUGUCUUUCUUUCUUCGGUUAUAUUUGUUAUUCUUUUUCUAUUCUGUGAACAAUUAUUUUAAAGCACCUUAAAAUGUUUUGUUCACAACUAUUUCCUUCUUCUUCUAUAUUCUUUUGCCCUUUUUCUGUAAUGUAUUUUUUUUCUCUUUAUGUUAUUACUUAAAGAAUUAUAAUUCUAAUUCUUUUAGUUUCAAAGUAUUUUUUUCAGCGGAGGUUCUUUUGCCAAGACUUUCUACAGUAUGGUACAUGAAACAGAUGUUGGAACAAGAAAGAAAAGAGAGCCAACCAUCAAGCAAUCAAGCCCCUCUGACAUUUUGAUUAAGGUGAUGUUUUUGUUUCUAUAAGCUAUAUUUUAAUGUCUGUGGAGUGUUUUCACAUUUGAGGUCUAUGUCUUUCUUUCUUCGGUUAUAUUUGUUAUUCUUUUUCUAUUCUGUGAACAAUUAUUUUAAAGCACCUUAAAAUGUUUUGUUCACAACUAUUUCCUUCUUCUUCUAUAUUCUUUUGCCCUUUUUCUGUAAUGUAUUUUUUUUCUCUUUAUGUUAUUACUUAAAGAAUUAUAAUUCUAAUUCUUUUAGUUUCAAAGUGUAUUUUUCAAUGGAGGUUCUUUUUUCCAAGACUUUCUACAGUAUGGUACAUGAAAAAGAUGUUGGAACAAGAAAGAAAAGAGAGCCAACCAUCAAGCCCCUCUGACAUUUUGAUUAAGGUGAUGUUUUUGUUUCUAUAAGCUAUAUUUUAAUGUCUGUGGAGUGUUUUCACAUUUGAGGUCUAUGUCUUUCUUUCUUCGGUUAUAUUUGUUAUUCUUUUUCUAUUCUGUGAACAAUUAUUUUAAAGCACCUUAAAAUGUUUUGUUCACAACUAUUUCCUUCUUCUUCUAUAUUCUUUUGCCCUUUUUCUGUAAUGUAUUUUUUUUCUCUUUAUGUUAUUACUUAAAGAAUUAUAAUUCUAAUUCUUUUAGUUUCAAAGUAUUUUUUUCAGCGGAGGUUCUUUUGCCAAGACUUUCUACAGUAUGGUACAUGAAACAGAUGUUGGAACAAGAAAGAAAAGAGAGCCAACCAUCAAGCCCCUCUGACAUUUUGAUUAAGGUGAUGUUUUUGUUUCUAUAAGCUAUAUUUUAAUGUCUGUGGAGUGUUUUCACAUUUGAGGUCUAUGUCUUUCUUUCUUCGGUUAUAUUUGUUAUUCUUUUUCUAUUCUGUGAACAAUUAUUUUAAAGCACCUUAAAAUGUUUUGUUCACAACUAUUUCCUUCUUCUUCUAUAUUCUUUUGCCCUUUUUCUGUAAUGUAUUUUUUUUCUCUUUAUGUUAUUACUUAAAGAAUUAUAAUUCUAAUUCUUUUAGUUUCAAAGUAUUUUUUUCAGCUGAGGUUCUUUUUCCCAAGACUUUCUACAGUAUGGUACAUGAAAAAGAUGUUGGAACAAGAAAGAAAAGAGAGCCAACCAUCAAGCCCCUCUGACAUUUUGAUUAAGGUGAUGUUUUUGUUUCUAUAAGCUAUAUUUUAAUGUCUGUGGAGUGUUUUCACAUUUGAGGUCUAUGUCUUUCUUUCUUCGGUUAUAUUUGUUAUUCUUUUUCUAUUCUGUGAACAAUUAUUUUAAAGCACCUUAAAAUGUUUUGUUCACAACUAUUUCCUUCUUCUUCUAUAUUCUUUUGCCCUUUUUCUGUAAUGUAUUUUUUUUCUCUUUAUGUUAUUACUUAAAGAAUUAUAAUUCUAAUUCUUUUAGUUUCAAAGUAUUUUUUUCAGCUGAGGUUCUUUUUCCCAAGACUUUCUACAGUAUGGUACAUGAAAAAGAUGUUGGAACAAGAAAGAAAAGAGAGCCAACCAUCAAGCCCCUCUGACAUUUUGAUUAAGGUGAUGUUAUUGUUUUUAUAAGCUAUAUUUUAAUGUCUGUGGAGUGUUUUUACAUUUGAGGUCUAUGUCUUUCUUUCUUCGGUUAUAUUUGUUAUUCUUCUUCUAUUCUGUGAACAAUUAUUUUAAAGCACCUUAAAAUGUUUUGUUCACAACUAUUUCCUUCUUCUUCUAUAUUCUUUUGUACUUUUUCUUUAAUGUAUUUUUUUUCUCUUUAUGUUUAUAAUUAAAGAAUUAUAAUUCUAAUUCUUUUAGUUUUAAAAGUAUUUUUUUCAGUGGAGG